AGAGUUUGAUCAUGGCUCAGAACGAACGCUGGCGGCAGGCCUAACACAUGCAAGUCGAGCGCUACUUCGGGUGGAGCGGCGGACGGGUUAGUAACGCGUGGGAACAUACCCUUUCUCUAAGGAAUAGCCACUGGAAACGGUGAGUAAUACCUUAUACGCCCUUCGGGGGGAAAGAUUUAUCGGAGAAGGAUUGGCCCGCGUAAGAUUAGAUAGUUGGUGGGGUAAUGGCCUACCAAGUCUACGAUCUUUAGCUGGUUUUAGAGGAUGAUCAGCAACACUGGGACUGAGACACGGCCCAGACUCCUACGGGAGGCAGCAGUGGGGAAUCUUAGACAAUGGGCGCAAGCCUGAUCUAGCCAUGCCGCGUGAGUGAUGAAGGCCUUAGGGUCGUAAAGCUCUUUCGCCAGAGAUGAUAAUGACAGUAUCUGGUAAAGAAGUCCCGGCUAACUCCGUGCCAGCAGCCGCGGUAAUACGGAGGGGACUAGCGUUGUUCGGAAUUACUGGGCGUAAAGCGUACGUAGGCGGAUCAGAAAGUAAGGGGUGAAAUCCCAGGGCUCAACCCUGGAACUGCCUCUUAAACUCCUGGUCUUGAGUUCGAGAGAGGUGAGUGGAAUUCCGAGUGUAGAGGUGAAAUUCGUAGAUAUUCGGAGGAACACCAGUGGCGAAGGCGGCUCACUGGCUCGAUACUGACGCUGAGGUACGAAAGUGUGGGGAGCAAACAGGAUUAGAUACCCUGGUGGUCCACACCGUAAACGAUGAAUGCCAGACGUCGGGUAGCAUGCUAUUCGGUGUCACACCUAACGGAUUAAGCAUUCCGCCUGGGGAGUACGGUCGCAAGAUUAAAACUCAAAGGAAUUGACGGG
rnacentral:rRNA from 1 species